AGAUAACAGCAAUCUAGCUGUGAUGUCUGUCACACCACUCAUCUUCAGGGAUGACCCUGAUGUGGCUUGUGUGUGGGUGUCCCCUUCCUCCCUCAGCACUCCAUGUUUGUCCCUCCUGAAGUUGUACCAUGUUCAUAGGUUGCAAAAUUAAUACCAAAACCAGCUGUGAGCCAGGUGUAAUGGCACAUGCCUUUAAUCCCAGCACUUGGAAGGCAGAGGUAGGAGGACUGCUGUGAGUUCAAGGCCACCCUGAGACUACAUAGAGAAUUCCAGGUCAGCCUGAACUACCUCAAAAAUUAAAAAAAAAAAAAAAUUAAAGGAUAAUCUUCCCUUAUUGAGGAGGCCUUCUU
rnacentral:sRNA from 1 species